UUAAAAAGUCACCAAACAAAAGGAUAAAACAGCUAAUGGAGAUCAGAGGAGUAAUUAACCAGAAGAGAUUAAAAAGAAACGAGCUACCCUCUUCAGGAUCUGACACUACAACAGCCGUAACAAAUACAAAACCAAGGAAGUUGAUAAAAGCUGCCUUCCAUAUCCUUUUUCAAUAAAUUUAAGAAGUAUCAUGGAAGAGUGAUGAAAUCAUUCUUAACCAACCAUCGCUAUGGCCAAUGGUGCUGCAGAAGGAUGGGGAAGGGUACAGCCAAAGGUCACGGAAGCUUCCUCUGUGUCAGUGUAGACAGAAUUUGAUGAGGCCUUCGAAGAAAUUCUUGCAAGGAACACUCCCCUUGUAAUUUGGUCACAGGCAAAAAAAUGAAGCAAAAAGCAAGGUGUGGGUGGCACCAGCCCAGAGCUCUGUCUAGUACUUUAGUACUUUCGAGUUUUUAACUCUCAUCCGCAGAGUGAAAGCCUCUGGAAGCAGAACCCAGGGACAAGCAAAUUAGCAUUUCCAAGGUCAAUUGCUGACAGGCUUAAUUGUUUACAGCAACUAGAGUAUUCUGGCUGCUGAAGUUAAGAGGCUUGACCUUUCUGGCUGGCCCAAUACCAGAAGAAACUAAUUUACCAUAUUAGCUACAAAAUAUCAAAAGUACUGUAGGAAUGGAGUCAAAUCAGCAUGUGACAUUUCCAACAGCAUAGAACAUUAACAGGAUACCCCAAAGUAAGUAAUUUUAAGCUGGUUAAACAAUUUGGGGGAAAACUGGAAAUACCAAUCAUACCAGUGGUAGGGGAGUGACAAGUACCAAAAAAAAAAAAAAAAAAAAAAAAAAAUCAAUAAAUGGUAUUAUCUCAUUUUACCAAGUGGUUUGAUUUGAAUAGUCACCAAAACUACUAAAAAGCUGCAAAGCUAGUUGAUAUGACUG
rnacentral:lncRNA from 1 species